ensembl:lncRNA
CUCUACAUCCUCCGUUUUGUGCUUCACGGAGACGUGGCCCUGCGGAUCGAUACCGGACUCCGUGCUCCAGCUGGCGGGCUUGCAGCUGCUCCGAGCGGACCGCGACACAGAGCUCUCCGGCAAGACAAAGGGUGGAGGAAUCUGCUUCUACUUCACAAAACAGCUGGUGCAACGACGUAACGGUGAUCCUAAAACACUGUUCUCCUGAUCUGGAAACUUUCUUCAUCAACUGCAAACCCUUUUAUUCCCCUGUGAGUUUGCUUCAUUCAUCCUGGUCGGUGUUUACAUGCCGCCGGCCGGCAACGUGCACGAGGCACAGCGGACACUCGCCCACCAGAUACGGCGUGUAGAGCGGACCAACCCGGACUCUUUAGUUAUUGUCCUCGGGGACUUUAACAAAGGUAAUCUCACCCAUGAACUUCCUAAAUACAGACAGUUUAUUAAAUGCCCCACCAGAAAGGAGAACACUCUGGAUCACUGUUACACCACAGUAAGCAGGGCUUAUCACGCCGUCCCUCGUGCUGCACUGGGACACUCUGACCACGUCAUUGCAGGUUAGCAAGCAGCUGUCCAUUCAACUUCCAAGAAGCUUUUGCCGACAGACAGGAGAGUCAGAGUCAGUGCGAAUUGGAUCGUGGCAACACGCGUGUGCUGCUGAGGGUCGUUUACGUAUCUCUUCCUGGGGUAAUUGCACGAUAAGGCAUCAAAACAACUUGGUUAGGUGCUGGAAAAGAUCAUGGUUUGCGUAUUUACUAACACUUAGGUCUUUUUAACGUUUUAACUUACUCCUUAUGAAUCAGUUAUGCUAAUACUAACCCUGGAUGGGAUCAUACCGGAGAUAGCUUAAAAGUCAGUGCAUCCUAUUACAGACGCUGGAGGAGGUUCAGGGGCACUGACCAACCAUCAGUAUUUGACUAGUUGAGAGUCAUACGCGAUUCAUUCAGUUGGUGUUUUUUGUGGUCUUUAUGAACUGCACUUCAGAGUAAAGUUGAAAGAUGUGUCAAUAUCCCGCCAUGUGCUUGAGCAAGGCUAAAAUAUUCAUAUAGUUAAACCAAUCCACUUCCCGCAUGUUGUGCUACUUAGAGAUUAAAAGAAGUAGUUUUCUGGACCCCUCUCUUCUACUUUGUAGAUGUGAUCCUAUUUUUUGCUGCCGUCUUGUCUCUGCCUGCUUGGUAAAAUACAACUUUUAAUCUCAAUUAGUUCAUGGUAAAAUUUAAUUAAAUAACAUAAUAAAAAUGAUUAUGUUGCACGCAAGAGAAACUAUACUUUUAAAGAUUGUACUAAACCGCAGUGUGAGAUUGGGGCAUAACCCCCCUCCCCCCUUCCUGUUUGUUCUCUGCUUCUUUUAUUCCUUUCCAUCAUUAUUUUUCCAUCUGCUACUUCCACAAACCCUCCUAUCACACUCACACUUCUUCUGUUCUUAAUGCUCUCAUCAAUCCUGCCUACAUUCUUGCUUUCUUUUCACUUUAACCUUUUCUGCAUACAUCCAUAUUCUUCUUUUAUUUCCAUUGCCUCCCACUUUCUCUCUUUCAUCAGGCCCCUUCAUUUCUCUACUUUCCACCUCAUACCCAUCUGCCUUUGCACGCUGUGUGUGUGGCAGCUGGGUGCUUUCGGUUAUUUUUCAGGCAGCAGCCCAGAAGAUUGGACUGUCAUAAUCUAUGGUUCUGAGUUAUAAGUGUUUCUAACCCAAACCUGGGGACAGGACCAUUUUUCCACUUUUCCUCUUUGCCAACCAUCCAUCCCCCUCUUCCCCCAUCAACUUGCACACUUCCUCCCUUUCCCUGACACUUUGGCAUUGCCACCCAUUUUCUGCAGUAAAAACAUUCAAGCUCUUGCUAUUAAGCCCCCACCAUGCAGCCACGGUCCCUCUCGUGCAGUGAAUUAGCAACGUUUCAUUAUUUGAUUGGAUAGCGAGCAUUCAUGCUGAUGAAAUGAUUAAUGUGGAAUCAUAAAGAUGACCAAAGAAUUUUGAUGCUGGCCAACUAGAGAGCAAAAAUCCCAUCAUCGUGGUUAUCCUUCUUUUCCAGUAGCUUCUGCAACUACGAGUAAUGUCCCAUCCAGCAGCACUUCCUCUCCUCUUGAAACAAGUGGUGGGUUAUGUCCCAUAUUCCAAUGCAAAUCAGAAUCUGCUACAGCAUGUAUGAAGACUACUUUAGCAGUUAUUGCUUUGCCACUGCUGUCAUUGUUAUUGCUGUUAUUACAGAGGUGUGUGAACUAGGAGUGACCCUUGACUGGAGAAAAGGCAACGUUUUGUGUUUUUUUGUUUACACACUUGUAGCAGCAGAAAGUGUAGGAAAGGGAAGCUACAGUAUUUUAAUAGCACCCCCCCCCCCCCCUUUACUCUCAAUCUACUCAAUUGAGUGGUGAAUUAGAGUUCCAUUGCCUCUUUGUCAUUAUUUACAUAAGAUACAGCUAUUUCAUUGAAUAGAGAUAUUGGUGAAGCAAUCUUAAGACCAAAGGCUAAAGGGAGAACAACAAAAAUUCAUAUAAGGAUUCAUUUUUGGGAGUUUAUUCUGGCUACUUAUCUCAAGGGAGAUGCCCGAUGAAAAAAACUGUUUUCCUUUGAAUAUUGGGUGGCUAAACAGGAAUAAGAUAACGAGAUGAAUCCAAAGGCCUGGAGAGCACUGCAUAAACACACACACACUCUCAUUUACUGCUUCCUGCCGUCUCUUUGUCUCCUUUGCUCUAUCGCUUUCUCGCUCUCUUGUCUAUCAAACCCAGACGGAUAGUGAUAACGACGUGAAGAACAUCAUAAAUCUACUGCACUUUGACAUUUAAAGCCCCAGCCCCCUAUUAAACCCUGUCAAUUUGAAAUGAUUAUGGAGGCCCCAAAUCCUGCGCAACACCAACAAAACCAAAAAGUUGCUGCAAAUGAGAGUAGAAUAACAGUUUUUUCUUAUUAUCAGGGAGAAAUGGCAUCAACAAUAAAGGGAGGAGCUAAGAAAAAAACCCUCCUAAGUCUGUGAUUGUGAAGCUCGGAAAUUGACAUUUUUUCAAGCCUUUUCAUGCUCGUUAUGGUAAGAGAUGAUAUCAGCUAAUCUCGAGCAGUAAUCCCUCAUCCUUCAUAACAAAAGUGCAUUGUGUUUGGAAAAAAUCUGGCCGGCCGCGACUUAUCAAGACAAUAAAGCAGCGCCGCAGAUCCGAAGGAGAGGUGGUCGGAAAAAGACAGAGAAAAGAAUGAAAGGAAAAAAGAAAGAAAGAGGAUUUAUGAAAGGUUAGGAGAGGUUUAUGAGAUUUGGGAGCCCCAUUUGUUGGUGGAGAAAAUAUGAAUUGCUUUAUCAGCGGUAAACUAUAUGUUAUUAAUGAAAUAAGGUGUUUUGCUUCUCUUUGGGGGAAAGGCAAAUCAUACAGAUGACAAUAACUAGUGUUUUCUUUUUUUCCUUUUUCUUUCAUCCUUGCUACAUUACUUUUAGUUUGGUUCUGUUGUGAUCUCUCUAUCACAAUGCAGUUCAAGGUUAAUGCUUAAAGUUUUGCUUUUAUUAAAAGCAAAAACAUGUUUCCACCCAUGGGAAAUGAGUUCAUUUGUGUGAGUUUGUGUUGUGCACCCUGAUAUCCUUGGGCACGUACGCUUGUCUAUGUGUACUGGUGCUGCUGAAUUAUGUGUGAGAAUACAUUUGAGUGGAGUUUCAUCAGAGCUGUAUUCAUACACCCAUGCUAUGAACAAUGGAUAAUCUUCCAAGCAAAGCCUGUUGAAGUCUGAGACCCAACUUGUAUCUCUCUGUAAAUCCACAAACAGUCAGCAGAAAUUGUUGAUGUGGAGACAGCCCUCAGCCUAAGCGUGUGAGUCUGCAAGUUAAAACAUUUGGAUUGACUUUCUGAGUCUGCUGUUCCCUGAGGGGGAAGUUAUUAUUGUCACUGACCUUCUCACUUUCUACUCCUGAACUCAGGGAGCGAUGAGGACAGUAGGCUUACUCGUACUGAAGUCAAAUGCAAUGCUUUUCUGCAUUUUUUGGGAAAGUGCCAUUCCUGUUUCAAAUGUUAAUUACCCAUGGCAUAACUUCCAUGAAAUUAUUUUACCAUCCUUUACCUUUUGGAUGAAGAGGAACCUGAACUUCCAGUCAGGCUAAAUCAUGCUAAACCAAAAGGUAUCAGAUUAAAUUCCUUACAUGCCAACAUUCCUUAAUCCUAGCAGCAUCUUAACAAUAUGCAUUUUGCCAAAGCAACUUAUUCACCUAAAACUUGUGCCAUGUGUCACAGUUUUUGCCCCCAUGCCGUCCACUCCAUGUCUCUCUUCCUAAUUAGCCAAUUGAGUUUACCUGUCCGCACACCCUCCUCAUCAGCUCCAUCACUCUCACUCGCCCACACUGCUGCACCCGCGCACCUCAGUUUGUAAACCCCAGUCACUCACUCACUUCUUGCCAGAUGGUUCUCCGCAUUCAUGCCUGACUUUCAACCGUGUUUAUCCUCCGACUGUUUCCCCCCCUGUCGACCCGCCUGUUUGGACAUCUCGACCAUGCUUCUUUCCCGGUAAACAACUUGGUCUUCUGUCCCUGACCACGAGAGCGGCCUGUGCUUCUUCUUGUGCUGCCUGCCUUCUCCCCUGACGGCUUGGCGUUCCACCGGGUGGAUUUCUCCAACAGUGAGCUGAUCCAAAACGGGUUUCCUCUGGAAUAAAGCUCGCUAUACGCUGUGUGUCUGUCAUGCUGGAUUUGGGGCCUUACCCCACCUGUAACACCAUCAACACAGAGCAGGCAAAUUGUUUUUGCAUUUGCCUGAUGUUCAAUAUAAUCAUCACUCCAAAUUAGUCCUUAAACAAAGUAAACAUUCUCCCUCUGUUACUAUGGGAUGGAGAGGAGGGCAUCCCCAAUUAUAUUGCCAGCAUACAUGUGACAAGGCCCAUUGCCUACAUGCAAAUAUGCAAAUAAGGAGCCCAUACGUAGCUUUUAAGCUCAUAGUAAUAGAAAGACUUAUCAGCCAAGUUACUCAAAGCUCCACCAAGCCUUUCAGCAAAUGUUUGGGGUUUUCCCAAUCUGUAAAUGUGUUGUUUCCUUCUGACAACUCUAUUGAACCGUGUUAACCCUGCAAACCAAAGGAAUCUCAGCACCUAAGAGACACAUUUCCCAUUUGAUUGCGACACAAACAGAGUUAAAAGAGAAUGAAUAUUGGACUUAAAACUCCAUUCUGUCAGCCAUAUAUGUAAAUAAGGAGAAUGUUUUUCGACAAAUAGUAUUAAGAGACAUUAUGAAUGAUUGGUCUACAGCUGUUUUAUAUAUUUGUGUUCUGUAUUACAGAUAUAAGGUGGGCUUCAGCAUCGUAUUGCCAUGUCUGAUGGUCAGUGUAUCUUGGUGAUACCGUGGAAUGUUCAUUAGCAUGUGAGAUGGAUUUUUUUUCACUUACACUAGAGUGAUGGAGCAGCGUAGACACAAUGCCUACUGUUCUUCCAAAACAAACAUAGGGGAUGAACAGUAAGUGUCACCUUGAAGCAGCAUCGAGGUUGUGAAGCUAUAACCAACAAGAAUAAAUGGGCGAAUCAAGUAAGAGUUUGAUUUUUUAUUGCGAUUUUAUAUUUAGAAAAGUUAUUAUAUUAUUAAUACCCAAAGAGCAAAUUAGCUGCACAUCCUGUGCUGAAAUCACAGGUACUUUUAUAAUUGUCUGGCUGUCUUUCGAUCCAUUUCAGUCAAUUUAAUUUAUUGUACUAUCCCCUUUGCACGGUUCCACGAGUGAGAAAUGUCAGCCCAUAGUUAAUGCGUGGCACUGUCACGGUGUGGUUUAUUUCCUGUCUUAUUUUGUAGUUUCUGCUUCUUGUCUCCCUGGGUAACUUCACUUCCUGCAUUGUCCUGUCAUCCCCUGUGAUUGUCUGAUUGUUUCCACCUGUGUCCAAUCACCUGCACCUCCCUAGUGUAAUAAAUCCAAGGCAUGCUGUUAAUACUACACCAUGAGUUGAUUCUAGCAUAUCCCUUUGAACCAGUUUCACCUGUCAUGAAAACAAAUAUGUAAUUACAAACUGUGUUCAUUGUGACGUUGUUUCUAUCUUCUUCUUGGAAACAUUGUGACAGCCACAGAGAUUAAACCAUGGACUAUAUGGUUCAAUCCAUUGGUUUGUCAAAUGAAGUUUCAAAGCAUUGAUUUUGUUUUUUUGGCCAUUGCCAUCUUGGAUUUUGACCUCUGCAGUUCUGUUAUUUUGGAACGGUGUAUGAAAGUGAACAUAUUCAGACUGCGGAGGAGCGAUUCAGAUAAUGAAGAUAUGAUGAACUAUGUUCAUGUUUAAAUCAAGUGGCAGUAGUGACAGAUUGCAGGGAGAAGCGGAAGUUCCCACCUAGACUAUGCAUGUCAAUCUGUAUUUUAUCACAAGCCAAUAUGUGAAUAUGAAGUUCUGAGACAAAAAAAUGGAUUGCGCAAAACUGUGCUUUGUCACUUUAACCUGCAAAAGGAGGAUGAUGGAAUCCCCUGGAUUCUACAAAUCAACAUUGCCAUUUUCCCGGCUGUUAUACACGGAUCAGCGUGCGGCUUAACUAGGCAACAGAGCACGUCGUGGUCCUCGGACAUACUGGAGAAAUUGUAUUGUGACUGAAAAACAAUUUUCAGUCUUAACCCACAGUUUGGUUGUUGCAGCCUGAUCUCAGGUUCGUACCUCGUCAUAGUUAAUAUAUUCUAAUGAUCUUAUUGAUAGUCAUCCUUUUAUCAAUCUAAUCAAAUUGUAAUGUUUGCUAAUAACAAUACACGCUUCUGCCACAUUCCGACAGUGCCAUUUUAAAAGAAUUGAUUAAAGUAAUUUGAUUUACAAACCCACCAUGCAUAGGUUUCUAUCUGUGCUUGAGUAGAAAUUGAUUGAAGGAGGUGAAUCUUGUCCCACUAUUAAAGCAGUCAGACAUGCCAGCUG